rnacentral:rRNA from 1 species
CCUACGGGAGGCAGCAGUGGGGAAUAUUGCACAAUGGGGGAAACCCUGAUGCAGCGACGCCGCGUGAGUGAUGAAGUAUUUCGGUACGUAAAGCUCUAUCAGUAGGGAAGAAAAACCGGCCUUAGGACCGCCAGCCGGUACCUGACUAAGAAUCCGCGGCUAACUACGGGCUAGCAGCCGCGGUAAUACGUAGGAGGCAAGUGUUAUCCGGAAUUACUGGGUGUAAAGGGUGCGUAGGGGGUAGUGCAAGUCUGGAGUGAAAUGCCGGGGCCCAACCCCGGAACUGCAAUGGAAACUGUGAAACUGGAGUGCAGGAGAGGUAAGCGGAAUUCCUGGUGUAGCGGUGAAAUGCGUAGAGA